CCAAGUUACUAAGGACGUAUGGUGGAUGCCUUGGUAUCUGGAGGCGAUGAAGGCCGUGGUAGGCUGCGUUAAGCGUCGGAUAGGUGCGAACAACCUUUGACCCGGCGAUUGCCGAAUGGGGAAACCCUUCCCGUUGAGAGACGGGAAAUCCUCUGUCUCUGGCAGAGGAGGCCAACCAAGGGAAGUGACACAUCUCAGUACCUUGAGGAAAAGAUAUUCCGAAAGUAGCGGCGAGCGAAAUCGGAACAGCCCAAACCGAGCUGUAUGUUCAAGCGGGCAAGCGUUGUACAGCCGGUGUAGUGGGGUUCAGUCGAACCUGAGUGCCCUGAGGGUUGUGAAGUUACAAAAUCUUGGAAUAGUUGAAAUCUCCUGGAAAGGGAUACCAUAGAUGGUGAUAGUCCAGUAGACGAAAUUCCCAAGAUCUUCACUGACUGAAUUCCCAAGUACUGCGAGGAAGGUGAAACCUCGUGGGAAUCUGCCCAAACCACUGGGUAAGGCUAAAUACUCCCAGAUAACCGAUAGUGAACUAGUACCGUGAGGGAAAGGUGAAAAGAACCCCUGGCGGGGAGUGAAAUAGAACCUGAAACUAUACGUCUACAAUCAGCAGGAGUUUUGAUCCCCUGGAAGCAAUUCCGGGGGGCAAUCAGAAUGACUGCGUGCCUUUUGCAUAAUGAGCCGGCGAGUUACCCUGACCUGCAAGCUUAAUCCUGCUACGAAAGUAUCAGGAGGAGGCGUAGGGAAACCGAGUCUGAACAGGGCGACUUAGUAGGUUGGGAUAUUACCCGAAACCCAGUGAGCUACCCAUGGUCAGGAUGAAAUUCCGGUGACACGGAAUGGAGGUCCGAACCGGUGGAUGUUGAAAUAUCUUCGGAUGAACUGUGGGUAGGAGUGAAAGGCUAACCAAACUGGGUGAUAUCUGGUUCUCCCCGAAAUGUCUUUAGGGACAGUCUUGGAUGUUCAGUAGUAGUGGUAGAGCUCUGAUCCGAGGAGGACCCUUCGGGGUUCAAAUCCAGUCAAACUUCGAAUGCUACUACUUAUAAGUCCAGGAAUGAGGCAGUGGGGGAUAAGCUCCAUUGCCGAGAGGGGAAUAACCCUGACCGCCAGCUAAGGUCCCUAAGAAUUGAUUAAGUGGUAAAGGAUGUAAAGUGACUUAAACACCUGGGAUGUUGGCUCAGAGGCAGCCAUCAUUUAAAGAGUGCGUAACAGCUCACCAGCCGAGCCACUUUGCGCCGAAAAUAUACCGGGGCUCAAAUCAAUCACCGAAGCUGCGGUUCUUACAUCUAUUCGUAGGUGUAAGGAGGUAGGGGAGCGUUCCAUGUUAGGUUGAAGUUUCGACGCGAGUCGGAAUCGACGAAAUGGAAGUGAUCAUGCCGGCAUAAGUAGCGAUAAUCGCGGUGAAAAACCGAGACACCGUAAGCCCAAGGUUUCCUGGGGAAGGUUAAUCCGCCCAGGGUUAGUCGGUGCCUUAGCUGAGGCCGAAAGGCGUAGGCGAUGGGAAAGCCGUUAAUAUUCGGCUACCGUCUUGGUUUCGUUAUGAACUAUGGGGGGACGCUGAUGGUAGAAGCGAGUCCUGUGUUGGAAUACAGGAUCUAAGCACUUCAAGGGAGAUGCCAGGAAAAUCCAGUGUCUCUUAACCUUGAUGUGUGAUGGGGAGACCCAAAAGGUCACAAACUCGCUUCGAGAUUCAGCCGAGAAAAGCCUCUAUGUCAGAAAUCAGGAUGACCGUACCGGAAACGGACACACGUGGGCGAGGUGAAUAUCCUAAGGUGCUCGGGAGAACCCUCGUUAAGGAACUCGGCAAGUUAACCCCGUAACUUCGGGAGAAGGGGUCCCUGUUAUGAUGAAUAGCAGGGCGCAGUGAAAGGGCUCUAGCGACUGUUUAACAAAAACACAGGUCUCUGCUAAGCCGUAAGGCAAAGUAUAGGGACUGACACCUGCCCGGUGCCAGAAGGUUAAAGAAGGUUGUUAGUCCCGGGAUGGACUUCGGUUUAGCCCGGGAUCAUGCUUCCGACUGAAGCCCUGGCAAACGGCGGCCGUAACUCUAACGGUCCUAAGGUAGCAACAGCUGCCUGAACUCGGCUGUAUGCGGGAAAAUCCUUAGAGCCUUGACUACGAAGCUGGUAGACAUCAGCCCGUAAAAAUGUCAAGGAUUGGAUAAUCCGCAGGAAAUUCUAUAAAAAGAAGAUCCUCAGAGGCCAUACGCUGAGCAUUUAGUUCCUUAGGAGGUAUUAUGAAGAUCAGUGACGAUUGGAUUAUAGGUUUUGUUGAUGGAGAAGGAUGUUUCCAUGUUUCGAUUCUCAGACAUCCAGAGAUGACAACAGGAUAUCAAGUGCUUCCUGAAUUUACAGUUGUCCAACACGAACGGGAUAAACAAAUUCUUUACGCAUUAAAAGCGUUUUUCAAAUGCGGUGUAGUACGACGAAACCAUGGCGACAGAUGGUGUUUUCGAAUUCGGAAACUCAAUUGUCUCGAAUCUCUUUGCGACUUCUUUGAGAGGCAUCCGUUGAAGACGAAGAAAAACGUUGAUUUCAGAAAGUUCAGACGGAUUAUUCAAUGCAUGAAGCGAAGAGAACAUCUCACCACCGACGGUCUGGUAAAGAUUAUUAAAACAGCCAUGACAAUGAAUACUGCUGAACGAAAAAGGCUUCUUCAAAUUAAACAAAAUCUGGGAAUUAAGUGAAGAGAUGGUCCACACCAUAACGAAAGUUAUGGAAUAUGUGAGCGAAAUUCCUUGGCGGGUAAGUUCCGUCCUGCACGAAUGGUGUAACGACUAGAGCGCUGUCUCAACGAGGGACCCGGCGAAAUUGAAGUGGCGGUGAAGAUGCCGCCUACCCGUGAUAGGACAAAAAGACCCCGUGAACCUUUACUGCAGCUUGCUAUUGGAUUUUUGUAAAGCAUGUGUAGCAUAGGUGGGAGGCGUUGAGAUCCCGGCGCCAGCCGGGAUGGAGCCGUCAGUGAAAUACCACCCUUGCUUUAUCAGAGGUUCUAAUCUGCCGUGUGGAGCGGCGGAGACAGUGGCAGGUGGGCAGUUUGACUGGGGCGGUCUCCUCCUAAAAUGUAACGGAGGAGCCCAAAGGUUCCCUCAGUCCGGUCGGUAAUCGGACAGUGAGUGCAAGGGCACAAGGGAGCCUGACUGUGAGGCCGACGGGCCGAGCAGAGCGGAAACGCGGGCCUAGUGAUCUGGUGGUUCCGUGUGGAAGGGCCAUCACUCAACGGAUAAAAGGUACUCCGGGGAUAACAGGCUGAUCGGGCUCGAGAGUUCAUAUCGACGGCCCGGUUUGGCACCUCGAUGUCGGCUCAUCGCAUCCUGGGGCUGGACAAGGUCCCAAGGGUUGGUCUGUUCGCCCAUUAAAGCGGUACGUGAGCUGGGUUCAGAACGUCGUGAGACAGUUCGGACUCUAUCCAUCACGGGCGUAGGAGACUUGAAGGGAGCUGUCCUUAGUACGAGAGGACCAGGAUGGACGGACCUCUGGUUUACGAGUUGUUGCGCCAGCAGCAGCGCUCGGUAGCUAUGUCCGGAAGGGAUAACCGCUGAAAGCAUCUAAGUGGGAAGCCCCCCCUAAGAUAAGGUCUCCCGUCCCGGCACUUUUUCGGAAGUGCUGGGCCACAAGACAACCUGGAGAUGACAGGUUUGAUAGGCCACAGGUGUAAGUGCAGUAAUGCAUUGAGCCGAGUGGUACUAAUCAGUCGAGCGACUUGGAUUUC
rnacentral:rRNA from 1 species